AGUCCAUAAUGUGGGCAUCUCCUACGAAAUUUUUUGAAUCUUUCCCAUACUUCAUAUAAUGAUUCAUUAUCCGUCUGCAUAAAAUUAGUUAUAUUGUUACACAUCUU